GUGCUCAUUUUGGCAGCAUGUAUACUAAAAUUAGAACACUGCGGAGAAGAUUAGCAUGGCCCCUGCACAAGGAUGACAAUAAAAAUUGAAAAAUAAAUUUAAAAGAU
ensembl:snRNA U6 U6 spliceosomal RNA